AUAUUGCACAAUGGGGGAAACCCUGAUGCAGCGACGCAGCGUGCGGGAUGACGGACUCCGGGUUGUAAACCGCUUUCUGCAGGGAAGAAGCCCUAAGGUGACGGUACCUGCAGAAGACGUACCGUCUAACUAUGUGCCAGCAGCCGCGGUAAUACGUAGGGUAAGAGAGUUGUCCGGAAUUAUUGGGCGUAAAGAGCUCGUAGGUGGUUGGUCACGUCAGCUGUGGAAACGCAACGCUUAACGUUGCGAGUGCAGUGGGUACGGGCUGACUAGAGGGCAGUAGGGGAGUCUGGAAUUCCUGGUGUAGCGGUGAAAUGCGCAGAUAUCAGGAGGAACACCGGUGGCGAAGGCGUGACUCUGGGCUGUAACUGACACUGAGGAGCAAAAGCAUGGGGAGCGAACAGG
rnacentral:rRNA from 1 species